rnacentral:rRNA from 1 species
UACGUAGGGUGCAAGCGUUAAUCGGAAUUACUGGGCGUAAAGCGUGCGCAGGCGGUUUUGUAAGUCUGUCGUGAAAGCCCCGGGCUCAACCUGGGAAUUGCGAUGGAGACUGCAAGGCUUGAAUCUGGCAGAGGGGAGUAGAAUUCCACGUGUAGCAGUGAAAUGCGUAGAGAUGUGGAGGAACACCGAUGGCGAAGGCAGCCCCCUGGGUCAAGAUUGACGCUCA